UACGAAGGGUGCAAGCGUUAAUCGGAAUUACUGGGCGUAAAGCGCGCGUAGGUGGUUCGUUAAGUUAGGAGUGAAAGCCCCGGGCUCAACCUGGGAAUUGCUUCUAAAACUGGCGAGCUAGAGUAUGGUAGAGGGUGGUGGAAUUUCCUGUGUAGCGGUGAAAUGCGUAGAGAUAUGGAGGAACACCAGUGGCGAAGGCGACUUUCUGGACUGUAACUGACGCUGAAACACGAAAGCGUGGGGAGCAAACAGGAUUAGAUACCCCUGUAGUCCCUGAGCGGG
rnacentral:rRNA from 1 species